UACGUAGGGUGCGAGCGUUAAUCGGAAUUACUGGGCGUAAAGCGUGCGCAGGCGGUCGUGCAAGACAGAUGUGAAAUCCCCGGGCUUAACCUGGGAACUGCAUUUGUGACUGUACGGCUGGAGUGCGGCAGAGGGGGAUGGAAUUCCGCGUGUAGCAGUGAAAUGCGUAGAGAUGUGGAGGAACACCGAUGGCGAAGGCAGCCUCCUGGGCCAGCACUGACGCUCAUGCACGAAAGCGUGGGGAGCGAACAGG
rnacentral:rRNA from 1 species